AAAACUGUAUGUGCAAGUCUUCCUCUUCAACUCUGGAAUGGCUGCCAUCUCCCAAUGUGAACAGACUCCUGAAUGAACCUGGGAAAUGAUAUGCAUGUACAAGUUAGCUUUUUCUCUUUUUUCUCUUUUUUUUUUUUGCAUUAUCUUUUGAAAAUAAACAUGCUAUGAUGCAAAUGAUGAGACCAUGACUGGUUGGCUGUGUAUCACAAGGCACAGGAUCAGAACUUCGGCAUGAACUCGGCAUCAGAAACCACAGAUCAAGGUCAUCUGGAACCCAUACUUCAGAACCAAGUCACCAACAGGACCCAAGAGUCACCAACAGGACAAAGUCACCAACAGAUCAAGUCACCAACAGUACCUG
rnacentral:lncRNA from 1 species